CCUACGGGAGGCAGCAGUGAGGAAUAUUGGUCAAUGGGCUUACGCCUGAACCAGCCAAGUCGCGUGAGGGAAGACUGCCCUAUGGGUUGUAAACCUCUUUUGUCAGGGAGCAACGCCGGCUACGUGUAGACGGACUGAGAGUACCUGAAGAAAAAGCAUCGGCUAACUCCGUGCCAGCAGCCGCGGUAAUACGGAGGAUUCGAGCGUUAUCCGGAUUUAUUGGGUUUAAAGGGUGCGUAGGCGGACGCUUAAGUCAGCGGUAAAAUUGCGGGGCUCAACCUCGUCGAGCCGUUGAAACUGGAUGCCUUGAGUGGGCGAGAAGUACGCGGAAGGCGUGGUGUAGCGGUGAAAUGCAUAGAUAUCACGCAGAACUCCGAUUGCGAAGGCAGCGUACCGGCGCCCAACUGACGCUGAAGCACGAAGGCGUGGGUAUCGAACAGGAUUAGAUACCCCUGUAGUC
rnacentral:rRNA from 1 species